rnacentral:rRNA from 1 species
AACGAACGCUGGCGGUAGGCUUAACACAUGCAAGUCGAACGCAUCGCAAGAUGAGUGGCAGACGGGUGAGUAACGCGUGGGAACAUACCCUUUUCUACGGAAUAGCUCUGGGAAACUGGAAUUAAUACCGUAUACGCCCUACGGGGGAAAGAUUUAUCGGGGAAGGAUUGGCCCGCGUUGGAUUAGCUAGUUGGUGGGGUAAAGGCCUACCAAGGCGACGAUCCAUAGCUGGUCUGAGAGGAUGAUCAGCCACAUUGGGACUGAGACACGGCCCAAACUCCUACAGGGGGCAGCAGUGGAGAAUAUUGGACAAUGGGCGCAAGCCUGCUCCGGCCAUGCCGCGUGAGUGAUGAAGGCCUUAGGGUUGUAAAGCUCUUUCACCGAUGAAGAUAAUGACGGUAGUCGGAGAAGAAGCCCCGGCUAACUUCGUGCCAGCCGCCGCAGUAA